rnacentral:rRNA from 1 species
GACGAACCGUGCGAACGUUGUUCGGAAUCACUGGGCUUAAAGGGCGCGUAGGCGGACAAUCAAGUCAGGGGUGAAAUCCCACGGCUCAACCGUGGAAGUGCCUUUGAUACUGACUGUCUCGAGGGAGGUAGGGGCGUGCGGAACUUCCGGUGGAGCGGUGAAAUGCGUAGAUAUCGGAAGGAACGCCGGUGGCGAAAGCGGCGCGCUGGACCUCUUCUGACGCUGAGGCGCGAAAGCUAGGGGAGCAAACAGG